rnacentral:misc_RNA from 1 species
AACGCACAUCGCGCCCUUUGGCAUUCCGAGGGGCAUGCCUGUUCGAGCGUCAUUACACCACUCAAGCCCGGCUUGGUAUUGGGCGGCGGGGCUCCCCCGCGCCUUAAUUUCACCGGCUGGACAACCCGUAUCUCAGCGUUGUGGCAUCAAAUUCGCUGGCGAGAAGGGUGGCCCGUGCCGUUAAAAUUUCCAUCAAGGUUGACCUCGGAUCAGGUAGGGAUACCCGCUGAACUUAA